GUCACUCUGGCGGAGUGGUUAACGCGCUGCCCUGCUAAUUUCCUCUGUUAGCUUGCUUAGGCAGUUCCUUCGGGAGCGUAGGUUCGAAUCCUACGGGUGACG